rnacentral:lncRNA from 1 species
GACGGCGGUCAUCAGAGAACGACGGAGAAAGAUUAAGAAAAAAAACAACUAAUGGAUAGUGGCUUGUAGAAGAAAAAGAGAAAAGGUGAGAGAGGGAGGUGAGCCAGAGAGAUUGAGAGACUGAUGUAAAUAAAAGGAAGAAAAGGAAUGGCGGUGAAGAAAAACAAUGUCACGUGCUUUGGCCAAAGACUGCCACGUUUGGUUUUAAAGCUGAAUAACCACCCACACACCCGCUAUUUAGUUGAUUUACAGGAUAACUCGCCAUAAAACUUUCUCGAAAAAUUACCAAACUAAUUUUAUAAAUCUCCGCAUAUUAUAAAACUAAUAAAAUAAAAGUUUCGGGAUUUAUAGAGCUUUGUCAAAAUUUAUACAAAUUUUAGAAGUUAGCUGCGUUUAGAAACUAAUUAAAAAUCAUGUCCUUAUAGAAAUAAGAUUUUUAAUAUUUUAAAAACUCCUAAAAAUAUUUACUAUCAUCAUUAAAUAAUUAAAAGAAAUUUUGAAAUCACUUUCAUAUUUCCAGGAAUUCAUUUUCCUAAAAUCCGUUUUUAAGAAAAUCAUAAAACAGUUAUAAACAAUACAACAGUUAGUAACAAAUAUACACACAAGCAUAAGUUACAUUCAGAUGAUAAACUUAACCAUAGAACAAGUAAUUCACGUAUUUGACAUGGUAUUCAAUUCAAAUAGACAACAAAAUUCCAAUACCCUAAUGAACCGGAAAAAUAAUUUAAACAUAUACUUUGAGAAUUAUGAAACUAGAAUAAAAUAUUAAAUUUUAUUCCACAUUUUCUGAAGAAUCACAAAUAAACUAACAAAAUAAAUUUUGAAAAAUCCGGGUCGUCACAAUCUACCCCCCUUAAAAGGAUUCCGUCCUCGGAAUCACCGAAAAGCAACCUAGAGCGUACAUCUCUAUAAUCCGUAAUACUUUUUCUUUCUGAUAUAAAAUUUUUGUUGAUCGACCCGUAUUGUCAUCCGUUUUCAUCCCUGGUGCUUCCUCCAACAAAGUCUUAAUUCAUGUUGGCAACUUGGUUGACAUACCUCCAAACUAUUAGAGAUAACAAGAAUCUUGAAGAUUUAAAAGUAUGACAGAUUUCGAAGCAAAUGUCACGUGAUUGUGGUCAUAUGAUUAUGAGAGUGUUAAAUAAAUCUCAUUUGAAAUGAGAGAUAACUGAGAGAUCAAUAUGAUCUAAAGAACUCAGUGUUGCGUGUCUAGAUUAAGACACUACUAAAGGUAGUUAACCUUCUUGUAUAUACAACACACACAAGUGAUGGCGUCCCAUCCAACUUCUAUCACACAGACAGAUAGUCCUUGUGUCCCCUAUAAGUAGGGUUGUUCACAUCAGUUAGAGUAGAGAAUAUGAAAGGGUUUGAAAUGAUGAAAAGUGAAAAUAUAUUCUUUAUAGAAUAUCUAUAUGAAAGUGAUGUCAGAACAAAUCAUUGAUGGGGAAAGAAAUCAAUAUAAUCAACAAUGUGGAAGGUAUUGUCAGGAUUCUCAAAAAUGUCUUUUUGAUAGAUUCUUUUGAUAACUUGUUUUCAUUCUAGUGAUUCUUCUUGACGUUCUUGUGAUCACUUGCAUAUAUUAUCGUAGACUAGCAAUAGCCUCUAACGAUCCCAUCAUUGAUAGCGUUGUCAGUCAGAAGUCUUAUCCAACUUUAUACAAUCAUCACCAUAGAGCGUUGACGUCUUAACUCGCUUAUGAGUACUAGAUCGAGGAAUCUAACACGAAUUCUACGUAGCUCUAACGCUCACUACUUAACUAUAUACAAAGCUUUAAACUCGGACUUGUUAACACCUCUAUUCUUUCACCAAUUCUAGAUAUCUAUGACAACUAUCAGAAGAUGACUCUCCAAAUAAUACUCAACACUUGGCAUAUACUAUAAAUGAUAUAUUAGACUAUGUGAGAAUCUCUACCGGCCCGACCUCAACUGGUUCUAGCUUGAAGGUUCUGCUGAUAGGUCAAACUUCGAUCCUCUUAGAAUAAUUUAACUCUAAAUUGGUCAAUAUAUCAGGGACCGGAAGAACUAGAGUUAGGAAUUGUGAUGUCUAACACUUACACUUAAUCAUCUCGUCCCAUUUUAUUCUGCUCAGAAAGACUAUCCCCAAAUAGUCUUACGAUACCUCUAUGUGAGGUUUCACCAUGUAAUCUUUUUUUAUCAAACCUAUUAUUACAAUCUACAUUCUGAUUUCAAUAACUUAUAACCUGUAGCUCUGAUACCAACUGUGACAUCCCUCAAAUCCGGGGGUCUGGAUCUGGUGCCACGUGUAAAUAAAAAUAAUUUAAAACCUGUAUUUUUGAGUCACUGAAAGAAAAACAAUUUAAAACCUGUAUCUUUGAAAGAAAGUAAAUACAAAUAUUUCAAAACCUGGAUAUUUUUAAAAAAAUGAUUUAAAUUAAAAUCAAAUUCACCCCCUGAAAACAGGAUCGCAUACAGGUUACAGCAUUGAAAUCAGAAACUAAAAUUAUUAAAUUUAAUUACAAAUUAAACUGCAUUAUCAGCUAAACCUCGAUAAGAAGGGUAGCUGAUAACCAAAUAACACAUCUAAUUUCCAACUGAACUGAAUUGCAGAUUCCAGCUGCAUCUAGUCUUAAUGACAUCGUCCUGGAUACUCUACCUGACCAUCUACCUGAAACUCAACCACUUGCAAUCCUUGCCUAGCCUUAAGUGAAUCAUCUUUAUCCCUAGCUGAAAAGGGUUAGAAAUAAUAGCAAGAAUGAGCAAUAAUGCUCAGCAAGAAUAUGAUAGGUGAAAGCCACAAGAUAUAUAUAUAUUUAAGUGAAUCAGAAUGUUUGAAGUAAAAGUAAACUCUGGUUUAAACAUGAUGUUGUAAAUCAACAGUUCAGUAUAAAAGAGUAAAAUGGUAUACAAUGAUAAAGCAGUUCUGCACCAAUAUAUGAUUUUAAAGCUGUAGAGAUAAAAAUAACUUCCAUUAUCUUUUGAACAUAAGAUAAUCUCCUUUGAAACUAAUCAAUAUUUAAUUGGGUUUAAAUAAGACACCUGGCUAUAACAGAUGAUCAGUCAUGCUAUAGUCCAUAAACCAAGCUUAUUCAGCAAGGUCGACAAAUAUUACGAAUUCCGGUAAUCCGGGCUGAAGGAGCCACCUUUCACGCUGGGCCGAUGUCUGAGCCUCUUACGCAAAACUACCCAAUAUAUUAAAUUUAAAAGCUACAGCUUUACAAUGAUUUGAGAAAUUCAAGAAUUCAAGUGGUCUUUCUUGUUAAGCAAAUUUCUUUUCUAGCAAAUCAAAAUAAUUACUACUUUAGUAGUUUGAAAAUCUUUUAUGAAAAUCGAAGUUUAGAUAGCGGGUCAAAGGUAUUAUCAAUUCAACUGAAGGUAUUCAAUUACCAGACAUGCUUCACAAGAAUGAUGUCACGAUAAAAAUGAAUCAUGUUUAAAAGAGAGUUCGGGGUCAAGAGGAAGAUAAAAAUCGCUUACUCUUAACUACAAGAGAAGGAUAGAAAUACUUGCCUUAACUCCGAUGUCUAGUCACGAUUCUAAUAGCACUAUACCGCACAAUCAUAUCUUUCUAAGCAGCUUCUGACAAUACUCUUUCUAUGUUUGUCUUCUCAGAUAAUUCUUGCUUCAACUUGCAACAUCAUCAGAUUAAUUCUGAACAUCUCGAUAUACACGUCUUUAUAUAUUCUACACGAUAGUAGGAUAAUAUCUCAGUCGUCAGAUUAGAAGAACGAGCUAAUUCUAAAUAUUAUAAGAAUCGCGAACAUCUACCCUUCGCAUAUCCGUAUAUAGUAAACAUGAAUAUAUACAGAUAUCCACAUAACAAUAUAUACACAUUGGAUCAGUCGGCACAUAACCACAUAGUCAAUAAACAAUCAAUACAUAUUCCAGUCCACAUAGAAUAUAAUGCUAUUAACUAUCAAAUAUUUAUUAAUCAAUAAACACCCCUAAUUUUUAACAAAAAUUCGGCAGCAUCUCCUCUAUUUAUCGGACUAUCCACCUGUUUACAAUACCAACAACCAACCAAUACUAUUGCUAACACGUGAAUUAUUAAUAUAAAAGGAUGUCUUGACUUAGUAACACAUAAGAAAAUCUUUUAGCACAAUUGCUAAUUCACUAUACACAAAAUACGUUUAAUAUAAAUAUGCAAGGUCAACUGAGCCAAUAAAUUUAAUAAUCAAUCAUAUGCAAUCAACCUCAUACUAUGCACUAACAAAGAAAGAAAAUUUGAGCAAAUAUUUCAAACAGCCUUCACUCUAUGAUUUUUAAUAAAUUGAAAAUUUAUCAUUUUAAUAUGAAAUUUUUAUGAGACAUUCCUAAACAUUAUUCCAAUCUACUACAAAAAUUUCAGAAGCAAAUUCAAUGUUUAAGGGAGUAAAACAGGGCUUGCAAGUCAGGACCUGAAUCUGUCCUGCAGAACCAGCCCCACGCUAAGAAUUUUAAUAAAUAGAAAAAUUGGUAUAUUUGUAUAAAAUUUUAAUGACACAUUCCAGGCCCCAACAUCUAACUCCAGCAAAAUUUUCAGCAGCAAAUUUAAUUAUAAGGUAGCAUAAAAGGGCCUGAAACAUGACACAUAAAUCUGCCCACAAUUUUCUGCGCAUACCAUAUUAAAACGGUCAUAUCUCCUAGCUCGCUCAUCGAAUCGAUUCGAUUCUUUCACGCACAUAAACUAGACUCUGAGGAGCACAUAACCACACAAAGAUUAAGCAUAUAAUUCAAAUCUAUUAGCCCAGAAUUGUACUGCAAAACAGAUCAGCAGCAACCUAGAAUUCGACAGAUUAUGUGUAGCCCAAUACUUAAGCUCUUGAAACACCAUUCUGAAAACAUUUACACAAAAUCUCGAACUUGAAAGCUUGAAUACUCAGUUAUACAUUCCCAUAAUUCAAGUACCCAAGUCACCCAAUUAUACUACUAGUUGGCGUACUAAUUAUAAUCAACCUACAACAACUAAUUCAAAUAUCAAUUAAGCACAAUUCAAUCAUACAAUUACUAACACCAAUCUCAAUCUCAAAAAUUCAACCAACCUCCAAUUACAAGCAUAUAAUCAGUUUAUGUACAUACAAGCACAUAUAUGUAUAUACGUCUAUAUCUAUUUUAACAAAGAGAAACUAUGCUUUAUACCUACUGAUCUAUAACUGAUGCAGGGCUAUGGUAGAGGAAGAAACACGCGGUGGCGGUCCGGCGGCGCCUGGUCGGAACCCGCGACGGCGGUCAUCAGAGAACGACGGAGAAAGAUUAAGAAAAAAAACAACUAAUGGAUAGUGGCUUGUAGAAGAAAAAGAGAAAAGGUGAGAGAGGGAGGUGAGCCAGAGAGAUUGAGAGACUGAUGUAAAUAAAAGGAAGAAAAGGAAUGGCGGUGAAGAAAAACAAUGUCACGUGCUUUGGCCAAAGACUGCCACGUUUGGUUUUAAAGCUGAAUAACCACCCACACACCCGCUAUUUAGU